rnacentral:rRNA from 1 species
CCUACGGGAGGCAGCAGUGGGGAAUAUUGCGCAAUGGGGGCAACCCUGACGCAGCAACGCCGCGUGAUUGAAGAAGGCCUUCGGGUUGUAAAGAUCUUUAAUCGGGGACGAAUUUUGACGGUACCCGAAGAAUAAGCUCCGGCUAACUACGUGCCAGCAGCCGCGGUAAUACGUAGGGAGCAAGCGUUAUCCGGAUUUACUGGGUGUAAAGGGCGUGUAGGCGGGCAUGCAAGCCAGAAGUGAAAUCUGGGGGCUUAACCCCCAAACUGCUUUUGGAACUGCGUGUCUUGAGUGAUGGAGAGGCAGGCGGAAUUCCCAGUGUAGCGGUGAAAUGCAUAGAUAUCGCGCAGAACCCCGAUUGCGAAGGCAGCGUGCCGUGCCGCCACUGACGCUGAGGCACGAAAGCGCGGGGAUCGAACAGGAUUAGAUACCCGUGUAGUC